CGGGGAACUUUCCUUUUGCCCAAGUGCUUCUGUGUGUUCCACUUCCAAGAGCUUUCCUUCAGUCCCUGCCCAGCACACAUCCCCUCCAGCCUCCUCCCCAUCUUCCUCCUUCCCCAGAUGGCUAUGGAUUCUGGUCUUCAUCUGCUACAUUUCAACACAUCCCAGCCGACUUCCACCCCCACCGUGCACGGUCUUAACAACUACCAUCAACAACAUCUACUAAUGUCUUACAAGACUGUAGAUACACAAGCCCUACUGACGUCUGCAUGGAUCAUCCGGAGGUCGGAAACAUGCUUUGCGACUGUCAACUGCAUGAUAAAACUGUCAGAAAUCUAUGGAGGCAGCCGCGUACAUUUUGAAGCCAGAGUCAAAGUUCUAUUUAUUCUUCGACAGUGUAAGUGCUGCACAUUUUACAGGAGUACGGAAGGUAAACCCUCACCGCACCUUCUGUCCUUGUUGUUUUGAACUUACCCUACGGAAAUUUCUUUCAUGGGCUAACUCUGUUCCUAAGAUGAAAUGUUACCUAUAUUUCUUUAUUUUUUUAUUGAAGUAUAAUAUACAUUCAGACUUCCCUGGGG
ensembl:lncRNA